UACGAGAUAGUAUCCAACACAGCAGGAGACUCCUAUGCGGAUCCGCGUUCAAGUCGCCAAACCCGCGUGACUGUCACAUUCGUUUUGGAGCCGCACAGAGGAUCAGCUCCGCCUCCGGCAGCGCCGUAAAUUCUACUGUCAAACAGCGGAUCCUGAACGGACCCAUGUCGGAUCCUCGGACGCGCCUUUACUGAACGGUUAAACGAUGCACACCUGUCAAUCGAGACUUUCUUGCUGGGACACGGUUCAGCUGAACCCUCUUUUGAGUGCUGUGUUCAACCUGGCAACAGAUCGGGCAACAAGGAGACGUGUAAUGGAAGAAAUGAUUAAAUAAUAAAAAAACAUUUUUGUUGAACAA